rnacentral:lncRNA from 1 species
GUACUCACUAGUAUAACUCAAGUUAGUUCUGACUAGAGGACAGUAACUGCACUUGUCCUAAUUUUUAUACUGUUUGCAUUAGCUGUGCUUCUCUUUGUUUUUAUAAUCCUGACAUGUUUGUCUGUCCUCACAUUUUUGAGGUCUUUUAUACUCAGCAAAUGUCACAUUUUAUCACAGAGUUUCUUGUAUCUAUUUUUUUUUUUUUGGUUCUUUUUUUUUCGGAGCUAGGGACCGA